CUUACACCAAAAAUCCAACAUACACGAAUAUUAUAUUUAUGUUUGAUAACCAAGAAAUCACCGAAGGGUAAAGACUCACGGUUUGAAACAAAUGGAUUAAGGCCAGCCCCUCUACCAUUUUCCACUUAAAAUACCAGACUCACAGCCCCACGCCCCAACCCCCUCGGACAUGACCCUAACCACCCAUUACCACCCACAGCCACAACUACACGAAAAAAAUAGGAAAAUAUAAGGACAUACCCGGUGUCAAUAUCAAAGCAGCAGCUAGGAGAUACAAGGCACACACACGUUCAAAGGACUACUCCCGAAGCAAAACUGAGAAGCGACC
rnacentral:lncRNA from 1 species